UACGAGGGGUGCAAACGUUAUUCGGAAUCACUGGGCGUAAAGGGUGUGUAGACGGUAAAACAAGUCAGUUAUAAAAUCUCUUGGCUUAACCAAGAACCUGUAACCGAAACUGUUUUGCUUGAGGAUGGAAGAGAGAAGCGGAAUUCUCGGAGUAGCGGUAAAAUGCGUAGAUCUCGAGAGGAACACCGAUGGCGAAGGCAGCUUCUUGGUCCAUUUCUGACGUUGAGGCACGAAAGCGUGGGGAGCAAACAGG
rnacentral:rRNA from 1 species